rnacentral:misc_RNA from 1 species
UCAACUAUCAAGCCUGGGCUUGUUGUUGGACUUUACUACUGAAAUAUGUGGCAGGUCCGAAAAAUAAUGACGGUGUCGUGUUUGACCCUAAAUGCAACGAGCUUUUUAUAAGCACGCAUUGAAGUGGUUAACCGGCCUAGUCUUAACCAUCAUUUUCUAA